UUUUCGCAAUGCCCGAAAGGGUGACGAAGCGACGCCGCGUGUGGGAAGAAGGCCUUCGGGUUGUAAACCACUGUCGGGAGUUAAGAAAUGCAAGGAUAUUAAUAGUGUCUUUGUUUGACUAAGGCUCCGGAGGAAGCCACGGCUAACUCUGUGCCAGCAGCCGCGGUAAUACAGAGGCGGCAAGCGUUGUUCGGAAUUAUUGGGCGUAAAGAGCACGUAGGCGGCUAUGUAAGUCGGUUGUGAAAGCCUUCCGCUCAACGGAAGAACAGCAUCCGAUACUACAUGGCUUGAGUGCGGGAGGGGAGAGUGGAACUUCUGGUGGAGCGGUGAAAUGCGUAGAUAUCAGAAGGAACGCCGGCGGCGAAAGCGGCUCUCUGGCCCAUAACUGACGCUGAGUGUGCGAAAGCUAGGGGAGCAAACGGGAUUAGAUACCCCGGUAGUCCUAGCCGUAAACGAUGGGCACUAAGUAGAGGGGUU
rnacentral:rRNA from 1 species